UGGACAUGUGCAAAGAAGGCCUACUGACGCUCCGGUUCGAAGAUGUGACUACGGGAUAGAGGUUCAGGGCUGAAGGGGUAGAGGAAGACCUAGGAAAACUUUGGAAGAGACCUUAAGAAAAGACUUAGAGUACUUGGAUCUAAUGGAGGACAUGACACAAAACCGAGCGCAAUGGCGUUCUAGGAUUCAUAUAGCCGACCCCACUUAGUGGGAAAAGGCUUUGUUGUUGUUGUUGUAUCGUUGGUGAGUGGAUUUCUAUAUGUUUGGAUGUAUAUCGUCCAAAGUGUGUUGGGGAAUCAAAUAUCCUUUUGCUCUUCUUUGCACUGUUUCGUUUAGAUACUACAUUUGCUAAAUCUAUGGCUGAUUUAUUUCUUUGCAGACUAAUAGUGAUUUUGAUUCUAAACCCAUGGUCAUGCUUGUGGGUCAGUAUUCAACUGGGAAAACAACAUUUAUUAAACAUUUGUUACGAUGCAACUAUCCAGGUUGGUUAAGUUAUCUCUAUUUUAUUUUUGAAAUUAUUAGUUGACAACCUCAGCGUUGAAGGGUUUAACAUUCGUUUGUUGGAACAGGAGCUCACAUUGGACCAGAACCUACUACAGAUAGAUUCGUUGUACUGAUGGUAUAAUUGCUAAUCACCUGGUUUCCUUCUAAAAAGUUUAUCGAGUUUAUUUCUUUACUUUCUGAGGUUUAUAUUGUAUGUUAAAUGUUUUUUGGUAAUUCUAAUUGUUGAUUGCAAUUCUGUUCUCAGUCUGGACCUGAUGAGAGGAGUAUUCCUGGAAAUACUAUAGUUGUUCAUGCAGACCUGCCUUCCAGUGAUCUAACAACUUUCGGAGGUGCAUUUUUAUCAAAAUUUGAGUGUUCACAAAUGCCACAUCCAGUGAGUUUUGAACUCUUUAUAAUCUUCUAUUUAUAUAGCAUUUCUGCUGAUUUUGUCACCAUAAUCUUCCUCUUGGAUUGUGUUAAUCUUCCUUUUCCUAUGGUUAUAGUUGCUAAAUGAAAUUACAUUUGUAGACACCCCUGGAGUUCUAUCUGAAGAAAAGCAACGAACAAGGGAGCUACGAUUUCACUGUUGCUAUAUCAUGGUUUGCAGCAAAAUGUGAUGUCAUUCUUCUUCUGUUUAAUCCUCAUACGCUCGACAUCAGCGAUGAAUUUAAACGUGUAAUUUCAUCUCUGCAUGGUCAUGAUGACAAGAUUCGAGUGGUCUUGAAUAAAGCUGAUCAAGUUGAUACUCAACAAGUGAGAUGUACCUCGCGUUUAUAUUGCCUAUUAUACUUUUUGUUGAAAGAAAUUUUCAAGUUCUUAACUUUUUGUCUACAUACUGAAGCUGAUGAGAGUUUAUGGGGCAUUGAUGUGGUCGCUUGGAAAAGUUGUGAAUAUUCCAGAGGUUGUGCGUGUUUAUAUCGGGCAGGCUUUCUUUUUCCAAAGUGGUUAAUCCUUUGGGAUUGGAUGCAUAAUUGAUUUGAUCGAAUAUUGUUAUUUCUUCAUGGCUUUGCAGCUCAUUCAAUGAUAAGCCUGUCAACGAAGGAAUUGUUGGUCCUAUCGGCAAAGAACUGUUUGAAAAAGAACAAGAUGACCUCCUAUCAGAUCUGGUUGAUAUACCUAAGAAAGCAUGUGAUCGCCGGGUAAGAUUCUGUCUCAUUUCGAUCUUUCUUGAUUUUGUUUUGGUUGAUAGACGAAAGAAGACUUGGUUGCUCUUCCUGUUUGCAUUCCGUUUAAUUCCCUUCACCUAUAUACAGUGGCGGAUCCAGGAAUCUUACCCCAAGGGGUCGCAGUGUAAAAGUUCAAAUAAAAAUUUAGGAUGGAAAAACAUAUUGAAAAUGAAAUCAUAGUACUUUCAUUCAUAAUUCAUAAUGGAAACAAUAUUACAAACUAUAAUUGUCCACGACGAGGUUUCAUAUUUUGAAAACGAAGCAUUAUAGCUUCAUUUUCAAUACAAGCAAAAAUAUCUCUCUCAAUAUAAACAAGCAAGCUAUCACUCAACCAUUGAUCUCCCAUUUUGUUCCUAAGUGGACCCUUAACAAUAUUCAUGACAGAAAAUGCUCUCUCCACUGAAGCAGUUGCAACUGGUAAAACUAAAGACAAUGUAAUGAGCAAAAAUAUACAUAAUUGAAUACUUGAUGCAUCCUUGUCUCCACCAUUUUUUUUGCAAGAUCACCAAUCCCUUCCAAUUGAGAGAAAUCACUACUGGAACACACACAUAAUGAAUAUAAAUCUCAAGUUGAUCUUCAAGUGCCAAACGAUCUUCAUCCGAAAAAGUCUUGAGGAUAAAAUUGAGCAAGACGAAGUAACUUUGGUUUAUCAAAAGCUACAAAUGAAUCCUUCGGACUCAAACAUGCCAUACAAAUAAGCAACUCGGUAUUUACCUCAUUAAAGCGAUCCUCUAACUCCGUAAUUUGCUCAUCAAUGACAUAAAUAAAGAGCUCCACACGAUAAUGAUGACGAUUUGUCUUUAUUGGAGCAUAACGCCUUGACCUCCCUGGAAGUAUAAAUGCCUCUUCCAUGUUAGGAACAUCAAUAUGAUGUUUUUCACAAAAAGAAGAUACUUCAUCAACCAAUGCAUCGAACCCAUUAUUCCUCAUCCACUAUAGCUUUUCCUUGCAUGAUUUCACUAAAGCCAUUGCAUUCACAAUUUCUUGAUCUUUCCUUUGCAAUGCUUGUGACAAAUCAUUUGUGAGUCCCAAUAUGACUUUCAUCAAGAAAAGGUGAAACACAAACUCAAAAGUAAGUAUCACUCUCAUUAACGUAUUUGCUUCACCCGCACUUUCAUUGGGAUUAUCAUCAAUAACCAUUUGAAGCACAUGAACCACGGAUGAAAACAUAGAAAUGAUGCUAAUCAAGGUACCAUAGUGUGAGUUCCAUCGUGUGUCACCGGCACGUUUGAGACUUGUUUCUUGAUUUAAGCCUCGCCCCGUUAUAAGACAAUCAUUUUCAAAAGCUAUCACAAGCUCUUCUUGAAGUUGCCCUCUAAGUGAAUCACGCCGCUUACAAGAUGCUCCAACAUGAUUAACUACAUUAUUAGCCGUUGCAAAAAAAGAGGCAAUGUCUAUAUUAUUCUUUGCUACGGCAACAAGAGCUAGUUGAAGUUGAUGAGCAAAGCAAUGAACAUAAUAUGCACAAGGUUGUUCUCUCAAUAUCUUUGUUUUAAGGCCAUUCAACUCACCUCUCAUAUUGCUAGCACCAUCAUAACCUUGUCCUCGUAGCUUGGAAAUGCUCAAACCGUAGCGAGAAAACAAUGUGUCAAUAGCAUCCUUUAGUGAACUUGAAGUAGUGUCGGUAACAUGUUGGAUACCCACAAAUCUUUCAAUUACAUGCCCGUUGUCAUCCACAUAACGCAACACCAUAGCCAUUUGCUCUUUCACAGACACAUCACGUGCUUCAUCCACCAAUAUUGAAAAGAAUUUAUCUUUUUAGACCAUCCAUGAUAGCAUCAAGUGUUUCAAGGGCACAUGAAUUCACAAUUUCUUUUUGAAUGGAAGGAGCUAGUAAUUUGAGAUUCCCCGGAGCAUUUUCCAUCACAACUUCUCUAACUUUAUCAUUAUUAUCUGCAAGGAAUUGCAAUAACUCCAAGUAAUUUCCCCUAUUGCUUGAAGUGGCACUUUCAUCAUGGCCACGAAAAGGAAGACCUUGUCGCAAUAAAAACUUAGUGCACUUGAUUGAAGCAAUCAAGCAUGUGCGAUAAGCCUUACGAGUUUGGUCAGAGUGUUUGCUCACUGCCGUUUCAAUAUGUGUAGCUUGAUUCAUCAAAUUUGUAGCAGCUUUCUCUAGCCUUAUUAUGAACACUCCCAACCGGUCCAACAUGCAUCUUAAAUCUUUCUCUCCCUUUCUUCCAAUUCUUAAAUCCAUCUCCAGUGAAAGCUUCACUACCCACUUGUUCAAAAUUGGUUUUAAAGAGAUAGCAAUAGAGACAAAAUGCCGCAUCUUUAGAUACACUAUACUCCAACCAAUCAAACUCAUCAAACCAUUGGGGAAUGAAGCGUCGAUUAAUUCCCGACAUAUUAGUUAUUGGGAAAUUAUGACAUCUAGGUUGACAAGGUCCUUUUUGUAGAUAUAAUCUUCGGACCUCAUCUCUCAUAUUAGCGUCAUAAUCUAUUAUUCGAGUUCUUAAUCCAGGAUCCGCUUGAAGAUUACCCAAAACAUCAUCUAACUGACUUUGUCUUGAACUUGGAGUUCUUGAACUACCAACAGUAUUUGAACUAUCAAACAUUAUUCGAACUACCCGAACCCGAUGAUGACUUUCUCUUAAAAAACCGUUCCAUAAUAAUGCUUGCUACAUAUACAAAAUAUUCAAAAUAAAUACUCACAAUAUAAACAAACCAUAAACAUAAUCAAAAUAAAUAUGAAUUGGAUUUUCAAUUAAAUUAAAUAUCUCAUCUUGCAUUCUAAUUUCUACAUAUACAAAAUAAUGAAAAUAAAAACUCACAAUAUAAACAAACCAUCAAUAUAAUCAAAAUAAAUAUGAAUUGAAUUUCAAUUAAAUUAAAUAUAUUCUACAUAUACAAAAUAUUCAAAAUAAAUACUCACACAAUAUAAACAAACCAUAAACAUAAUCAAAAUAAAUAUGAAUUGGAUUUCAAUUAAAUUAAAUAUCUCAUCUUGCAUUCUACAUCUACAAAAUAAUGAAAAUAAAAAAUCACAAUAUAAACAAACCAUCAAUAAAACCAAACCAAUAAAAACUCACAAUAUAAACAAAUCAUCAAUAUAAACAAACCAUCAAUAAAAACUCACAAUAAAAACUCACAAAAUAAAUAUGAAUUGAAUUUCAAUUAAUUAAAUAUAUUCUACAUAUACAAAAUAUUCAAAAUAAAUACUCACAUCACAAUAUAAAAACCAAGGGAGGAGAUGGAGUUGGAGCCGCCAGCAGAGGAGCAGCAAGGGAGGAGAUGGAGUUCACGUUGAGGGUUUGGGGGCAGCAGCAGCAAGGGAGGAGAGGAGUUGAGGAUUUGGGGGUAUUGAGUUAGGGUUGAAGGAUGAAAAAUUGGGGCUUUUAAUUGUAUAGGGGUUGGGUAGGAAAGGCUGGGAUGGGGGGGGGGGACACGGUGGGAAUUAAAAUUUUUUUUUUUUUUUCGGCCUGGCCCAAAACGACGUCGUUUUGGCCAGGUCAUUUAAAAAAAUUUCCUGGGCCAAAACGACGCCGUUUUGCCCGUAUGUUUUGAAAAAAAAGAAGCGCGCAGCUUCUUCUUCCUCUUCCUGCAGUGCCGAGCUUCGUUCAGGAUUUUUGUCGAACACUUGGCGUGCGACUCCGACCCCGACGACCCCGACGACCCCAGCUCCAAGAGGUCGCGUAUGGGAGCUUCAAGGUUGUUUCCAUGGUUUCCAAGGGGUCGUGCGACCCCGACGACCCCACUGUGGAUCCGCCCCUGCCUAUAUAUGUCGUAUAUUGCAGAUCAAUGAAUUUGUAAAACGUGCUAGAGCUGCUAAGAUUCAUGCCUACAUAAUGAGUCAUCUGAAGAAGGAGAUGCCUACUAUGAUGAGAAAAUCUAAGGCUCAGCGAAAACUCAUCGACAACCUCGAAUAGGAAUUUGCAAAGGUUUAUCGAUUCUUAAGCAACACUCUUUGAUCUUUACACCUAUAUCUAGCAGGCAUGAUUACUCUUGUUAAUUUUUCCAAAAACAGGUUCAGAGGGACUUUCAUUUACCAGCCGGCGACUUUCCAGACGUGGAGCACUUCCGGGAGGUGUUGGGCGGCUAUAACAUCGAUAAAUUCGACAAGUUGAAGCCGAAAAUGAUUCAAGCUGUGGAUGACAUGCUUGGCUAUGACAUCCCUGAGCUUUUAAAGAAAUUCAGAAAUCCCUACAAUUGAUAGUGUUACAAUUUUUGGUAUAUGCCAUGAUACAAUCAAGAUUUAUAGAGAUUAAUAUUUGAUUGUUGGAGUUUAUCUUUAGUCGAAUACUUUUGAGACUUGCAUUGUCCAUGGGCAUGUAAGAGAUGAUUUUGAGCUUAAUAAUCAAAGUUUUAGCUUUUCUUAAGCUAAAUAACGAUGUUUGUGCUACCCUUACUAAGAGAGUUAUGCAUUAUUAGCUUGAAAUAUUGUUGGAGAUAUUUUAGGUGCACGUAAAGUUUUUUACAAUUAAGGUUGAUGAAGCGACAGUUCGUAUUUAGAUAACUCUAUUUUGAUCAAAAUGUCGUCUAUUUAUAGAUUCUUCAUAUUGUGAUUUUUGAAAAACAAUAUUUUACUUUAAAUUAAUUUAAAUUGUAAAAAGAAUGAUUCAAACUUGAAUGCAUAAUAAGAGGUGUUAAUGCUAUAACCAACAUAACUAUUGCCGUACUAGUGUCAAUUUUAUUCCCAAGCAAUGACAAAGUAUUUAUGUGAAAUUCCAUCCCCGAAAUUUCAUUAUUCAUUACGUAUCUCGUUAUUACAAACGACUGAGUUCAGGCGUAGUGAAAAAUUGGAACGUGGAACCCGAAAGAUUUUACAAAACAAGUACCAAUCAUUUUAUUCAAAGUAGAAAGAAAAGAUAAUACCACUAAAUAUAAAAUAUUAUUGAUAGAAUAAAAUAUUAAUAAAACAAGAAAGAGGGGAAGGGUGGGGAACCAUCGAGAAAAAGAAAGGGAAAACAGGAGACGGGGAAUGGGCGUGGGAAAAAAAGAAGGGGAGGGGGGAGAGGCCAUUGUCUUCUUCUUCCUCCUUUACUCACUUCACCCCUUGUAAACUAUUUUCAUCAUAACUUCCUCAUACGAUAAUGAAAUCACACAAGGCUGGAAGUUAUAUUUUUGUAGUAAAGUUGUCUUCAAUCUGAUACUAUACCCACCCUUUGAAAACCGGUGUACAAAGAAAAUGAGGUCCAAAUGUAUUGACGUUUCUGGCGACUUUUCUCUGAUUUCGGUUCACCCCUUUAAGUGAAGAUAAUGAUUCUUUCCUCAUGGGCUCUCCUCUAGCGUAAGUUUUUCCCAAGGUGUUAACUUUCAGUUUUGGGAUCUGUUCUUGAUUUCGAAUUUCAAAUUGGUAUUAUGUAUGAAUAUUUGAGAUGAUACUUAGUUGUAUUGUUUAGGAGUUGAAACAGAACUGGGCAAUAAGGAUUGGUUGCAUAUUUAGGGAAGAACCUUGAAAUCCUAACCUCGAUUUGGUUCUCUUUAGAAAUGUAAGAAUUGGGUUUCUUUUAUAAGUAUUAAUGUUAUUCCAUAAUCGAAGCCAAAUACAUUUGAAUAUUUUAGGUGCCAUAUUUGUCCUACCCUUGAAGAACAUUGCUGAAUUUGUAUGUGUUGUAGCCUAGGUUUGUGUUUGUGUAGAUAAUUAGAGUUCUAAAACUAUUGAGCGGUUCUAUAUUUUCCAUGACAUUGUCAGAUGCUGAUGCUAAAUACUUGAUUGGACAAUGCUAUUACUAGAGUAGUAUAUGACUCUUGGUUUUGGCCAUUGAUAUAUUGGUGGUUCUUUAUUCUUUCUUUCAGCAGAUGAAGAGUUAAUACUACUAGGAAUUUAUAUUUUUAUUUUGAGGCACUUGAAUAAACAGUAUGGUUUUCUAUGUUAAUUAUUAAGAAUCAUUGAUAUGGUUUGAUAGAUCCAAUUUGGUGUGAUUACUAUUCAAUUAAGUACUUCACCUUUAUACGUAUCAUGUUGUUUGCCUAAGUGGUAGAAUGAUGUCCCAUUAGACAUAAUUAUCUAUACGCAUGCUUAUACUGAAACCAAAAUCAAGUUGAUUCACGUUCUGAAGUUAUAUGUAUAUGUCUCAUAUGUGUAGACAAGCUGUACAAAGAAAGCAUCCAGUUUUUAGUAGUUAUUCUGAUUACAUGUAUGUAGUAAUGUCUUGUUAUAGUGAUCGGAGUUAUUGAAUUGGUGAACUACGAAUGGCUUGAUCCCUAUUGAGGGUACGUAGGCACUCUAACGGGGAGGUUAAAUGCAGCCAUAAAGUAUAAGAAAAAUUAUCACGCCAUACAAAGCUUGAGUUGUGCAUUGUCCAUAUCCCGGAGGCGGGGUAUGGGAGUUAUGCGGGUAUUUGAUGACGUCACGUGUCGAUCCUAGACGUAUGUCGGGAUCAGGGCGUGACAAUUUAUCACUAAAUGAUAAUUACCCAUAGACCUGUUUUUUAACAAACAUUAGGGGUAAUGGGUUAAAUUGUUAGCUGUUAGGGGGAAGAAGGAUCGGUGGGGAUCAGUGACUAUACAACAGCACUAAAAUAUAUAUAAAUGAUUAUUUUUCGCUACUGUGGUGAAGUGUCAUCUGCAACCAAAUACCAUUCUAGCACACAUAUGCAUUUUCUCUUGGAAGAUAUACCAUUUCUCCUUCAGACUUAUACAAAACUCAUGCAAACCUAUCAGUUAGAGACAGGUGGCAUACUGCCCUACUCUUCCACAUCUCUCUCGAUUUUCGAUCGUCGGGUUGAAUGAACUAAAGGAGAUCAAUGGCUAAAAAUCAACAAGUUUGUGUGGAAAAUGAAAAUAGGUGUGUAAAUUGCAAUCUCUUAAGUGGCCCUUUAUUAUAGUGGUAAAAAUGUGUUGUGCCAUUGUAUGACGGCGUGGGUUCAAAUCCCGUCAAUGGCGAAUUUGAUUAUCACCAAAGGUGAAUUUGAACCAUAUUAUUGCUAAAUCAUUGUGAGGUUUAGCUCACUCCCUCAGUCUUUCAUCCUUUAGUGUAGAUAAUAUCGUUUGUUAAAAAAAUAGCAAUCUCCUUUCUUUUACUCUUUUUUCCUCAAACUCAUAUGUUUUAUCUUAUUCAAUUAAAUAUUUGUAGGACUCCAUCUUCAAAACAAAUCACUCAAAAAAAACUAGGGUCCAUACAACAAAAUGUUUAAAAAAUAAAAUGACAUCAAUUUUUCUCAUAUGUCAAAAUUGGUAGACUUGGCAGCACACAGUAUGUAUGCCAAUCCACGUAGGAUUGACAUAUCAAUUAUAGCUUUUAUUUAAGGUCAGCACUACCGAAUUUUCUCAAGAUUAAAAGCCUCACACUAAAAAUGAGAAGAAUUCUCAACAUUGAGAGAAAGACACUCACUCGGAGAGAAAAUUCAUAUGUUUAACUUCUUUGGAAAUAUAUUUUAAGAGUGAAAACUGAAAUCUGCUCAAAUAAAAAACCGAGGUUAAAGUUUUUUUUUCUAGGAGUAAAUUAUGAAGAAAAUGGGAUGAACAAGUGUCCGAAGUGUUUGGAGCACAAAAUGUUGCUUCCACCUUCAUCACCCGAUACCAUUUAGCAAAUUUCGUGGCAGAAACACAGUGCAAAAUAAUACUGAGGAAAAUUACCAACACAUUUUCAUUCAGUUCAAAUGGGCAGGUCCCUGAUUUUCUCCCCAAACCUUCCUCUCAGAAUUUCUCAAAUACCAAGAUCAAAUUUACCGCCCAAUCGACCAGAUUACUCACUUUUACUGAAUUCAAAGCAAAAAUUGCAACAUGGGCUUCAAAGAUUUGGACUUUCGAUUGCCAAACCGACGAGAAGUCUCUGCACAAAGGCUGUGUUCUCUGAAAUUCCAAACCCGGAGCUGUAUGUGAAAGUUGGGGCCAAAUCAACUGGACCAAUUCCAAUUGGUCAGCUCGUUGGAGUGGUAGAGAAGGCCGCUAAGACUGGCGCUGAGGUUGCUCUUUAGCUCUGUUUUUGUAAUUCUUUGAAUGUGCCAGCAUUGUGUAAAUUCUGUAAUUUGAAUAAGAACCCAGAUGGAAUUUGCAUUUGUUUCUUGGGGGAUUGCUUGAAUUUUAUUGUUUUUAAUCCUGUUCAGUAUGUUAAUUUGAUUUUGGAAGCAUUGUUGGCUUUUGAUCAUGCCUUUGUUUGCUCUGAGAGUGUCUUAUUCUACUCCGGUAACGUCUUUUUCCCGUUAAAUAUAUGUUUAGGGAAUAAAAGUUGUUAAAUUUCAUCCUAAUAGGAGUUAGCAACUAAUAGUCAAAAUAUUUUUACAAAAAAGAGGUACUAAAGGAGAAAAACAUUGCCGGUGUAAUAUAUGAUGACAUUGUUUUGUUGCUAGAGAGUAUGUUGAUUCAACGCCUUAGGUGUAGUACUUGCCGUUUUGUCCAUUACUGAAUCAUCAUGAAUUCCUUAUAGCUUAUGUUAUUUGCGUCACUUUUCAGGUUGUGAUGGAUGCUGUUAAUAAGCCUCGGGAUAUCACCUAUAAAGGACUAACAGACUUGGUCACUAAGUAAGAACUGAAUUGACAUGCUUUCACUAGUUUUGUAUGUUUUGAUGCUUCAAUUGACUUGUAGUGAUAACACUUUCUAGAAUAGACUAGAGUAGAGGUUGAAACUUACAUGUAAAGGUUGAACCUUUUACAAGCAAGAUACACUAAUCAUGAAGGAACUUCUAAGUAUCACCUUAUUCUUGGAGAGGAGGUGGAAUAACUGGAGAUGCAUCAUCUGAUUAUAUGUGGUGCAUUGAUCAUUUAGGUUAGUAUCUUCUAAGGGGCAGUAUAGGUAUGCUUGUGCAUAUUGGGUUUUUCAAGACCACCAAGUAUGAUAUGGUUCAUGAUAGUGGUGUGUUUCAGAACAUGAUUUACUGUAAAUCAGUUACCAGGUUGUUUCAGCCAUCGUAAUUCUUGCCUCAAUACUUUUGACUCAUACUUUUUCAUAACAAAUUGUUGCAGUGUAAAUAUUAUGAUUUUGUAUAUAGACGGCAGUUCAUAUACUUAAUACAUACAUGAAUGUUUAGAGAUGAACUUUCUAAUGACAGAUAUGAAAUUGGAAAGAGCUAUUAGGGUGGUAGCUGGAUUGUCGUUUUAUAUCCAGAUACCUUUAAUAAGAAUAGCCUGAAAAUUCUUAGUUUUGUCUUAUCUAACCUCUGAUAUCUUCGUAGAUGGAACAACAAAUUUUGCACAUGGUUAUUCUAGCUUUGCAGUUUCUGUUGGAGUUUUAUUUCGAGGAAGACCUGUUGCUGCUGCAGUGGUACUGAUCACAUAUAGUAGAUUUUAUUUGACAUGUUGCUUGCAUGAUUGCAUGAUAUGUUAAGAUGUCUAUUUGAUUUUCUAGUACUUCCCUUCUCAUGUGGGCCUCAUUAUUAGAGUCAAGAGUGUCUUCAACUUAUAUUGCAAGGUUGCGAUGUGAUGAUUUGAGCUCAGGAUCUCUUACUCUGUUACCAUGAUAAAUAUUAUUUAUUUACCAUUGUUUUCAAAAGCUCGAACUGUUAGGAUGUGGACCAAAAAUCAUCUAUUACUAUAACGUCUAUGACUGACAUAGUGGAAAUUAACAUGUUGGUUUUCUGUUUAUAUUUUCAGAUAGAGUUCGUUGGGGGCCCUGUGUUGGAAUACCCGCAUUUUUUCUGCUAGUGCUUGUAUGGAAGUUCUUCCUAAAUAGUUGCCUUAGUCUUAAUUGAUUUUGUAAUUGUACUAAUGAUGUUGAGCUCAAUCGAUAAUCUGUGUUAUGAUAGGAGGGGGAGCAUUUUGUAAUGGCCAAAGAAUUCACGUGAGCCAAACUGAUGAGCUUAAUAUUCCUUUUAUUAGAAGAAAAAGAAUUUUGAAAUCUAUAACUAUGUCGAAUCGUGUUACUUUAGGUCGAUGACUAAGUCUGAUCUUAUUUGAUGUUAGAAUAUUUGCAGUGGUAUAUUGAUUAACACUUACUGCUAUUCCUUUGUACUAGAAUGCAAUAAAUAAAGGUACAAAACCAUAACAUACCUUAGGCUGUGAUUAUCUUUACCCAAUUUUCUUCAGAAAUUCCAACCACCACCAGAAUGUUAGGCAUAAAGGUAGUAAGUUAGAAACUAGAAAAGGUAUUAGAGAGAAAGAUGAGCUAUCUCAUGUGUAUCGCUUACUGUAUAAAGGAGAAACCAUUUUAUAUUUUAUUUAGGCUCAUACUCUUCCAUAUUUGAGGUGGGACGAUCUCUUCUUGUUACUGGAUUUGGUUAUGAACAAGAUGAUGUGUGGAUCACCAACAUAGAGUUAUUUAAAGAGUUCACCUACAUCAGAAGGGUAAUAGCCUUUCGUUUUAGUGCUAAGCAAUUUUUAUUUGAGCUUUAGCUUUGGGAUUAAUUAACUUCCUAUUCCCUCUCUCUCUUCAUGUUUGUGACUUGAACUCUUUUUUCCCCAUGGUAUUUUCCCUACAUCGUAAUGUUUAGGGUGUAAGCAGGCUCAGUGCAGCUGCGGUAGACAUGUGCCAUGUAGCUCUUUGGAUUGUAGAAGCCCACUGGGAAUAUCGACUAAAGCCAUGGGAUACAGCAGCUGGUGUUUUGGUAAUGUUUUGUCUUCUCAUAAAUGCAUUUGUUUGGUGUUUGUGGAAUAGUAAUAUUUGGAAGUCUAUUGUUAUAACACUCAAUUGAAUACGUUCUUGUUUUGGGUUUGUGGAAACAUAAUACAUCGGCAGAGAUUUUUGUUUUAUAUCUCUCAAUUUUUUUUUUUUUCCUAAAGCAAUUUGGUCUGAUUUUUUAUUUGCAUUAUAUGACAUAUUGUUCAGGUUUUUCUUUUCGAUUUUGUUUUUACUUUGUUACGAGACCCUAAAUAAUCAUUGAUACUUUCUUAUACAUGGGUUAGUUCUUUUUAUUUUUCCUAGUUGAAUACCUGGAAAGAGUUGUGAUAACUCAAAAGUAUACAUCGGAAAUCGAGCACAUAACAAAAUAAUGCAUCAAUUGACAGUUUGGUUUCAGUAUGAACAAUUUACACGGGAAGAAUAUACAAAUAAUAGACUUUCUGUCAUUAGAAAUAUCCUUUACGUUUUUAUGGCAAGUGUUUGGAAGUGUUGCUUCGGACAACCUCUUGUGACAAGAUGCUUGAACUGAUGCAUGAAAAUUAUAGUUCACUUUUCUCUCUGCAGAAUCGUGGCAUCCAGAAGUGUGAUUUAAAGAAUUCAUAGAAUUUGGUAUGGCAAUUCAUAGAACUUGGGAGCAGCCUCUCCAUAAAAUGGGGGUAAGGCUAGCCGACAUUCACCUCUCCCAGACCCUGCGUAAAGCGGGAGCCUUGUGCACUGGGUACGACCUUUUUUAGUUGAAGAGGCUGGAGUAAAGGUUACAUGCAUGGAUGGCGGAAAAUUCUCUGUAUUUGAAAGAUCUAUCUUGGUAUCGAACUGUGUGCUGCAUGGCAAGGUUAGUCUUCUGCUUUAUCCAGAAUCUAAUUACAAAACCUUACGUGUUAAGAUCGAACUACGGUUAUAGAAUGCAAGAUCUUAACUCUUCAUUGCCUUUCUGUUACUACCACUAAUCUUGUUCACUAGUUAUAUAACCAUUUACGAAGAGUCAAAGGUCAAUUCAGUUUCCCUAACUUGAUGUAUGUUUCUACCGAUGAAGUGGCAAGCUUUCCUUUACCUUUCCAUAUUUUUCCUCAAAUUUUUGUGUUAGGUUAGGUCGGGGGGUGGGUGGGAGGUGAGUAGAGCAGAUGUUUACUGUAAGUCCGUAACAGAGCUUUUAGUAGUGCUAUAGUUUCCUGUAAAAGACGCAGUAGAUUGUAAUCAUAUUAAAUGCACUAGUGGUUUUAAAGAAAUAAUUCUAGAAUUUAAUUUUUGUAAAAUGCAGCUCUUAGAGAAGGUUGCACCUGCAACAGAGAAAUUGAAGAGCAAAGGAAUUAAUUUCUCAUCAUGGUAGUGGUACAAGCCCGAAGAUUACACAAGAGACAUUUGAUGCGCCUGAAAGUUCAUUUUUUCUUUGUUUUUGCCAAUGGUGCUGAGAAGAUAUCUUCCACAGGAAGGUGGUCUCUCAUUGUUUCAUUGGUGACUUUCGCUGUAACGUGCAUUUCAAGCGCGUGAUAUAUAUGUUAUAUCUCAACAUGUCUUCCUUUACUGAUAUGAAUAUUGCUUUAGGGGUUUUAGUACAGCAUAGCAUGUUUUCCUAUGUUGCUUUAGGCAAGUGGAAUAGGUGUGAAUUGCUGUAAUUCAGAAAUAAUCGUCGAUAAUGAUCAUGGAUCGAUCUUUAUCGUCAAGAAAUUGGUCCUAUGUGGAAUCACUACUCUUUCUUUACCGAAGCAGAAAGAAAAAUGUGAAUUUGGGCAGUAGUUAAAAGCGUAUCAUCCUUCCAUUAUUAUUCUGUUCCCAUCAUUUCUUACAUACGCACUUGUCUUAUUUCUGCUUUAAAAAAAUGAAAAUCAGAACGUUAUUUCUCUGCUCGUAAGGGAAGUUGCUGGGUACUCUGCAACUUAUUUAGGAGUAAUGUCGACACCCUUGAUAACAAGCCCUUUCUUCCAUUUCCCAACAGUUUGACGGAGCAUAAAAUACAUCCGGCCAGAUUGCCCAGGCGAUGUUGUAAAUUCGGCAACUCGGACAUAACUCCACCAUCUUCCUUUUGUCCUCAGAUCAAGUGUAGAGUUUCUCGGGACAAUCUGCAGGUUCUGAGGGGGAGUGACGCUGAAUUCGACUUUAUCUUCCCAUCCAUAUUUUGGGUCCUUCAUCAUGAUUAUAUAUGAAACUUCAUACACAGUUCCGGGUGUCAGGUAUGCGGUCUCAAAAUCCCCUUUCACUUCUAGCGAUAAUACAUCUAACAGUUCAGCAGCAUCAACGUAGACAGAACUGCAAUUAAACCCUAAGUUAGGACCGAUUACUAUAUAGCAGUAACCAAUAUCAAUUGUGAUAUACGGAUUCAAGUUUUCGGUACCUGGCUGCGUACACGGGGUUCCAGCGCCAGUAACGAUCGUCUUCACCGAAAGUGAUUGUGAGAGCUCUUGCAUACAGCACAAAACAGUUGUUGCCCUCCCUAUCAACCCAAUACCUUUUCUAAUAAUAGUCAAGAAAAUAAUGGGAUAAACAUGAUUGUUGAUAUUUCAAGCUGUAGUAAGAGUUCAUCUUUUAAUAUAUUUAAAAGACAAUGAUUUCCGCACACCCGUUUUCUUCUGUUGCACACCCUGUUUAUUUCUGCCCUUUAAUUGAUUCUCCUUUUGUUUAUACAAAUAUUCAAAUGCAAUAAACAAACACGUGUGUCCAGACGGAGAAAAUGAGUGUGCUGAACUUCAGUAAGAAUUAGAACAAUUUCACAUUUCUGAAGCAUGUUUGAUAAUUUCACACGAAAACUGAAAAACAAAGAGCCGGAAAUUCUUUUUAAAAUUGUCAGAAAGUUAAAUGCAUGGAUUUCACCUUUUUCGGUUGGUCGAAAAUUCCUGGAUAUUUGACCUUCGAAGGGACUUUUGCAGGUGAGGACGAGUCGUUACUUGCCAAAAUCUUUCAGAAUGUCUUCAUACUUAUGUGGGAAUGACCGCUUUUCCUCUUGCGCUUUAGCAUCAGUAGCCAUCCUUCGUGCAGUUAUUCAAUCAUGUUUUAACUAUAUAUACAUAGGAAGACAGGGCUAAGCCAGUCAUUUCCACAAGUCCCCGCAACUUGCGGAUGAGGAUAAGAAAGAUGCCUUGCGUUGCUAACCUUUAAUUCUUUAAAAUGUAGAUAUCAAGCAUGAAUUCUUUUUAUUUUACUUUGGAAUCUCUUCCAUGUGGGAAAGCACAAUAUUGGAAAGCACUUUCGAAAAAACCUUUUAUUCCAUAUGCUAAAGCUUUUGUUUGUUGAUCAUAUAUAUUUCAUUAUGCAAAUAGAAUUCAUUUUCAUAAAAUGCAGAAGAAAGAUGACUUGCGUUGCGAACCUUUUAUUCUAUGAAAUAUAUAUAUGCCUUUUCUUCCAUAUGCUAAAGCUUUUGUUUGUUGAUCGAAUAUAUUUCAUUAUGCAGAAGAAUAGCAUUCAUUCUCAGAUAAUGCAGAAGAAAGAUGCCUUGCGUUGCGAACCUUUUAUUCUAUAAAAUGUAGAUAUCAAGCAUGAAUUCCUUUUAUUUUACUUUGGAAUUUCGACCAUGUGGGAAAGCAUUAGAUUGGAAAGCACUUUCGAAAAAGCCUUUUAUUCCAUAUGCUAAAGCUUUUGUUUGUCGAUCAUAUAUACUCCAUUAUGCAAAAGAAUAGCAUUCAUUCUCAGAUAAUGCAUCAUACCCAAGGUCUAAAAUAUCGAUAUUAUCAGUGAUAUUUCGCCGAUAAUAUCGUUUUUGUGAGAGAGCGAUAUUUUAACACGUAUCCACUUAAUUAUCGCUAAAAUAUCGUGAUAAUAUCGCUCUAACAGAAGAACAGAGAAGAACGCCAGAGCUUCUACAGCUCCGGCCGACUGCAAACUACCACCCUAGACCCCGAUCUAGGUACCAAACGAAAGCACAAGGCGAGAGGAUUGCGUUUAUACCUUCUGUUUGCCGUGAAAUGACCUGUGGUGGUCGAAAAACCUCUCGACACCCACGGCCUCGCCGGAGAUGGGUGUGCCUAUUCCCGAGCCGAUUUCGUCCCAAAAACCUUGGAAAAACACAAGAUAGAACUUAAAAUUUACAUCUAAGCUUCAAUCUAGUACAGAAAGAGGUAAACCCGAAGCUUACCUAACCGGAGAAAUUCAAGAAACUCGUCGGAGGGUUCCUGCGUUCGCCGAGUUGCAGAGACGAGAAUAAGAGGGAGAAAGACGAGGUUGCUGAUGACGAUGGGUGUUUUCCUCGAGCAGGUGCGAUGGUGUGCGUAUGUGUAUGUGGGUCUCGGUGCAGAGAGAAAUGAGAGAGAUGAGAGUUUUGAGAGAGAAAGAGAGAGAGAAAUAAUGCAGAAAAGAAAGAAGAAGAAAAAAGGGGUUGCGGGGUCGAGGACAGAAAGAGAAGAAUAAGGAUUGUUGCUCGCUUCCCCGCGAGCUUCCUUUGCUUCGUGGAGCCGGUUGGUUCGGUGGUCCCUAGAGGAUGAUGAGGCUUUCUUUUUCAUCACUUUUUGGGUUCUUGCAGGUAUGACCUUUUGCGAUGGCGGUAGGCCUUGGAUAUGUGCAGGAGGAGUUGCAAUGGCAGUGGUGCUGAGGUUCAUCGCUGUUGACUUUUCUGGCGGUGGCUGCUGUAGGCGAAUGAGGAGUAGGGUUUUCUGUAUUCUGUUUUUAUGUGGGCUGGGCUCCAAAGCUGGCUUUGAACCUUGUCCUUAGUGUUGUGUGGGCCUGCUUUUUGUUUUAAUAUUGUAUCUUGGCCCUUGUUUGUACUUACUUUUAGUUGGUAAUGAAUGUUUACCAGUUGUCCAAAAAAAAGGAUUGUUGGGGUGCUGCCACGUGGCAGUUUGAGAGAAAAGAGAAUCUUAAAUGUAGAUCUGGAUUGGGUAAUGGAAAUUAGGACUAAAUUGAUAGAUUCCAUAAAUAUUUGGGGAAAUAUGGGCAGUUUGAGAGAGAAAAGAAUCUUAAGUUUAUGACUAACUAUGCGCAUGGGUUAACUAUCAUUUAACCCCUAAACUAUUGCUGAUAACUAAUUCAUUAUAUAUAAAUGAUUAUGGUGUGUCUAAACUUCUUUCAUUAAUUACUACAUAUUUUCUACACUCACAAUGUUUGUCAGCUCGCUAUAUAAUCAACUUAAAUCAGUUAAAUCCAUCAUGCAAUGCAUUUCCUUCCAAUUUUAUGUGAUAAACUAAUAGAUAAUUGACUAAAUAAACAUCCGGCAAAGUUUCAAUAAAAAUUUCCAAGUUUUUCUUACAAUUUCCGUGGUUUUUAUUCAAUUUUUAUCGAUAUCGAUAAUAUCCCGAUAUUUCCAUCGAAAUUUUCGUGUUUUUGGACUACCGAUAUUUCCGAUAUCAUCGAUAUUUUAUACAUUGAUCAUACCCUAUAUAUUAUUCUCAGCUUAUAAAGUAAUAUUUGAAUUUGCAAGUGAUUACUAUAAGUCUGCAACAGAGCUCUGAAUAGUGCUACAUCAGUAAAUAGUUGUAUUAGUAAACUACAACAAGUACAAGUUAGUUAGAAAUUAUUCCAUCCCAAUUUUGUAGCACAUCAAAAAGUAAAGUUUAUUUCACAACCCAUAGGCCCCAACAUGAAACACAAAUCCUAAUUUAAAUUCUAUGUAUUAAUUCAUCUUACAAACAACCCAUUUAUUCCAUAAAUAAUUGAUAUAGAAACUUCGAACUAAACACCCUACCUUACUAUGCAUGUCGAAGCUUCAAUCACCACAAAAAAUGGAACUUUCCAGCCAAAACAUAAAAUAUGGUACAAAACCCAGCUCACUCUCACGUCUCUCACAUUCCUUUGUUCUAAAUCAGCGGUAUGAGGUCAACCCAAAAUCUAGCUCACUCUUCUCACCUCUCUUUGGACUUCCCUAUCUUCGAAAUUUGAGCUCAACCCAAAAAUCCAUAGCUCUCUCAACAUCCCUUUCUCCCAAAUGAGAAAAGUGAUGCAAUAAACUGAUGAUUUUUAGUAUUUAUAAGUGCGUAUUUUAGUAAUUUCAGUUUUGUGUAUGGUGGCAUAGCCGGUUUGUCAUAUUUCUAUCCCAAGAUUAAGAAAAAGGCCUAUUCUUUUCCAUUUCAAUAAUCAAAUUGAGACAGAAGAUGAAGAGAGAAGGUUGGUGGAAAUCUCAAAUCAUUGCCAUAACUUUCAAUUCCAAAUUCAAAGGGUGGAGGAGGAGCCGAAGGAGAAGAAUGGUAGUGGAAUCUCUGGGAUGGCCAAUCCAGUCUUCAUUUUUUCCAUUGUUGCAAUUGACAGUCCUUCGAUUAGAUCCAGUCCAUGGGGAGGACUUGACGGACAAUGCGCAACGAGCGAGAGAUUGUUGGAAAAAAACGAAGAACCCGACUAAUAACACCGAAGUCGUGGAGAAGAUAAAUAAGUGGGCAUGUGUCGUAUAAUACAUCCGUUAGAUUUUCCAUCUAUUGGUCUGUUAAAUGCUGACGUGUCUGCCACAUUUGUGUUGCUGUGACUGCCACGUAGCAAAAAAAAAAAAUUUAUACAUUAAAAAUAUUAUAAUAUUAACCCUAUUAAAAAAAAAAAAACUUAGAAAACCCAUAUCCCAUCACCCCCCUCCACCCCGAAACCCCACCCCUUCAUCUCUUCCCCAUCCGUCGUCCUUCCCUGCAACCCAAAUCCAAAACCACUCCCACCCAUCCUCCACAUCCUCCUCGGCGCACCCAUCUUCCCAUCCCCUCAUCCCCCCUACCCGAGCCCAACCUGCAACCCAAAAAAAAUAAAAAAAAUAAAACCAUCUUUAUCUUCCCCGAACCCCUUUCCCUGCAACCCUUCUCCCUCCCGUCUUCCUCAAACCCAUCGUGCACCCAUUCUCCACCUCCUCCUCAGCACCCACUAUCUGCAACCCAGAAAAGAAAAGAAGAAAAAAAAAACCCAUAUCAUUUUCCCUGCAACCCAGAUCCCGUCUUCCCCAAUGGGUGUGGAUUUAAGGACUGGGGUGUGUAGAGGAGGGAAGAGGGUGGGUGCCGAGGGUGGGUGAGCAGGUGCGGGUGUGAAGGGGGGGUUAGGGCGAGGUGGGUCCCGGGGGGGGUUUGCUGGGUUUCUGGUUUUGGGGGUUGUGGGGAUGUGUUUAAUCAGCUUUAGAUUUUGGUUUUUUUUUUCUUUUUUUUUUUAAUUUUAUUUAUUUAUUUAGAAGAUUCAAGUUUUUUUUCUUUUUUUUGCUUGGUUAAUUCGCAUUAGGGGACUAUACACAUUAUAGGGGUGACUCUGCUUGGUUAAUCUGCAGUAGGGGUCAUUGCCUGUUUAAUGGAUGCCGUCUGGUUAAUCCGCAUUGGGGAACCAUACGUAUCUUAGAGUGGGAUUUCGUUGAGUGGUCCGAAUACCCUGCUUCGCCUCGAUUCCGUAGUGGUCCAGAAUCAAAUUCUAUUCCAGAUUCCAUUGAGUUGAUUCAGAGCUAAAUUCCUAGAUUUGUGUCGCUCUAGCUCGAGAUUUUCAGUUGGUUUAUUUAUAAUUUUACAAACCCUAGUUUUAUAAUGAUAUGAAUAAAUUUGGUUGGUGGAUAUUGGUAAUUGUGGUUUCUUCUUGGAAAGACAAAAUUAAAUUAAAAAGUGAACUACGAAUGACUUGAUCUCGUCUAUGGGUACGUAGGCAGUCUAACACAAAGGCUAGAUGUAGCCAUGAAAUAAAAGGAAAAGUUACUAAGUUGUUGAACCAUUUAUUUGCGUUUUCGGUCAUGUCUCAGAGGUGAGGCAUGAUAGAUGUACCAGUACUAGUGACGUCACGUGUCGAUCCUAGAAUUAUAUCGAGAUUGGGACGUGACAAUUAGUACUAUUCGGUUCCUUAUAUGAAUUGCCAAAUGAGGAACACGGAUCCCCUUCAGAUCCAUUAUGUUGGGAGGGAUCCCUACAUCUCAGCCGUACAUAGUGAAUCGUGCAGUCAGAAAUCAUUUUACUUUUAUUAUUUUAAAUUAAACAUAAAUAGUACCUGACAAAAACUAAUCACACGAUUUAUGAUGAAUGGUUGAGAUUCCGUGUUACCAAAUGAGGUCCGUAUGUACGUAAUUAGCUGCUUGACCGUUUUCCUCGGUGUCAGGUGGCAAUAAUUGUCAGUUAAAAAAAAAGUCUGUCUCCGCCCGCGCUUUUGCCUAGCUAAGAAAAACAAGUUUGUCUAGUUACGGAGAAACCCAAGAUAAAUGGAGAAAUCGAAGAUUGGGAUGAGGUUCCAAGGCAAGGUGGCGAUUGUGACGACUUCCACUCAGGGCAUCGGCUUCGGUAUCGCCGAGUGCCUAGGUUUGGAAGGCGCCUCCGUCGUCAUCUCCUCCCGCAAGCAGGUCAGUCUAGGGCUGGGCACGGGCCGGGCCGAGCCGGGCCGGACCUAAUUUUCAAGGAACCGGAGGUUAAAAGAAACGGGCCGGGCCGAGUCGGGUACAUCAUAUUUCAUUACAGGAAUCGGACCGAACCCGGCCCGUUUCAAACGGGCCGGUCCUUGGUUUUUUUUUUUUUUUUUUUUUUUUUUUGCGAAACCCUUACGGAAAGGACUCCAGAACCACCGCCAUGCUGCCUUCGUCGUCGCACCACAGCUUCUCCACCGAGCCCCGCGCCGACACCGCCACGUUUCUCACCAUGGCCAACAUCCUCACAAGCAACACCUCCAUGCUUACUCUGAGUCGUAGUAUAUGUACCCUUUACCUGGUAAUCCUUCUGAACACUUGUUCGUGAGACAUGAGCCAACUGCCUCCAUCACUGCCCGAUAAGUAAAAUUUUCCUCACUUAACCCAUUGUCUACAAAACUGCUUCCAUUACCUGUAAAUCAAAUAAUACAAUUAAUGAACAAGUCAGACAUAAUUCCUGCUACUAACCAAUGAUUCCUUUCAUACUACAUCCGAAGUUGGGAAUAACAUAUGGUUUUAUUAAAGAUUUUAUUAAAGAUGUCUAUUCAUAAGGAUGAUUUUGUCAUAGAACUAAGCAAUGAAAUUCUGUAGUUAAAACAAGUACGCAGAGCAUCGAAUCCAAGCAAUAUAAUGAAAUUCUGUAGUUGUUUCGAUUUUUAUAUUUCUUAAGAGAAACUGAAAUCAAAAUUAAUAUUAAAACACCAUAAAAUUUAAAAAAACCAGAACCAUUCCUGCCAUAGAAUUCUCAGAACAUAAAUUUACAUGCAAUCUAAUACAAUUUACAAAUGGAAACAUAAAUAACUAGAAGUUACUGAUAUCAGUUCAAAGGUUGGAGUAUAAUUACCGCCAAUUUCAGGGAUAGGCACAGAGACAGAAGAGGACGGCCUUCCAGCAACCAAACUUCCUUCAAUGUAAGAAGAAGACCCUAACGGGCUUCACACAAUGAGAUUCGCCCAUGCCCACCCAUAGUACAAAAUUAUUGGUUGAUUUGGAACUCAGAAAAGUGAGAUCGAGAAUUGAGAGGGAGAAGAUCGAGAAUCGACAGAUUCGAAAGGGAGGACUAAGGAGAGGAGAGUCUUUGUGGCGAUGAGAUCGUCUUCGUGUCGUCGUUGUCUAGGGGGAGAAUAGUGUGGGUGGGAGGAAGGAAGUCUCAAGUCGAGGACUUGAGUGGGAAUCAGUGGACUUGAAGGCGGCGGAUGGACGAAGAAGAAAGGGGACGAAGGAUGACGAGGAAGAAGGGGGACGGAUGAGGGAGUGAAUCAUGGAUAAUGGAUUAGGGUUAGAGACCAUAGUUAGAAACGGGCCAUCCGGGGCCCUGUUUUUCUAUACCCCUAAACCCGGCCCGCCCCUAAAAUUUCAAAACCCCGGCCCGCCCCUCCCCGUUUCACUUAUGAAAAAAUUGGAACCGGCCCGUACCCGUCCCGAACCUUGAUUACCCGCCCCUACCCGCGGUUCCUGUACCCGUUUGCCCAC
rnacentral:lncRNA from 1 species